AUUGAACGCUGGCGGCAGGCCUAACACAUGCAAGUCGAGCGGAUGAAGGGAGCUUGCUCCUGGAUUCAGCGGCGGACGGGUGAGUAAUGCCUAGGAAUCUGCCUGGUAGUGGGGGAUAACGUCCGGAAACGGGCGCUAAUACCGCAUACGUCCUGAGGGAGAAAGUGGGGGAUCUUCGGACCUCACGCUAUCAGAUGAGCCUAGGUCGGAUUAGCUAGUUGUGGGGUAAAGGCCUACCAAGGCGACGAUCCGUAACUGGUCUGAGAGGAUGAUCAGUCACACUGGAACUGAGACACGGUCCAGACUCCUACGGGAGGCAGCAGUGGGGAAUAUUGGACAAUGGGCGAAAGCCUGAUCCAGCCAUGCCGCGUGUGUGAAGAAGGUCUUCGGAUUGUAAAGCACUUUAAGUUGGGAGGAGGGGCAGUAAGUUAAUACCUUGCUGUUUUGACGUUACCAACAGAAUAAGCACCGGCUAACUUCGUG
rnacentral:rRNA from 1 species